GCCUCCUUAGCUCAGUGGUAGUAAGUUAUUCCCACCUCCAAAAGAGAGGUGUAUACGGGUCUAACUUUGAAGUAGGAGCGCAUCACUCGUAAUGAUGAGGUCGCGAGUUCGAUUCUCUCAGGUGGCA